rnacentral:rRNA from 1 species
AACGAACGCUGGCGGCAUGCCUAACACAUGCAAGUCGAACGAGACCUUCGGGUCUAGUGGCGCACGGGUGCGUAACGCGUGGGAACCUGCCCUUAGGUUCGGAAUAACUCCCCGAAAGGGGUGCUAAUACCGGAUAAUGUCUUCGGACCAAAGAUUUAUCGCCUGUGGAUGGGCCCGCGUUGGAUUAGCUAGUGGGUAGGGUAAAAGCCUACCACGGGGCCGAUCCCUAGCUGGUCUGAGAGGAUGCUCAGCCACCCUGGGACGGGGGCACGGCCCCGACUCCUGCGGGAGGCAGCAGUGGGGAAUAUUGGACAAUGGGCGGAGGCCUGAUCCAGCAAUGCCGGGUGAGUGAUGAAGGCCUGAGGGUUGUAAAGCUCUUUUACCCGGGAUGAUAAUGACGGUACCGGGAGAAUAAGCUCCGGCUAACUCCGUG